rnacentral:tmRNA from 1 species
GGGGAUGUAAUGGUUUCGACAUUAUAUCUGAAGCAUAAAUAGCGAGUAGUGGAUUCUCGUUGGCCACUUAAAAAACGAGAAAUUUUAAAUAUAAACGCUGAUAAUAAUAGAGAAUUAGCAUUUGCUGCUUAGUUUGCGGCAACGUCUGUUAGAAUAUCCCCACAUAUUCUAAUAAGGCGCCAUUUAGUGGGAAACAAAGCUGUUUGCGCUACGAAAACAGUGGGUAUUUAGUAGAUAUAUUUUUUAAUUUUUUGUUUAUUAAUGAUUAAAAAAUGAAUUUUUAUAAUAAACUGCACUCGGAGAAGUUUAUGUGAAUGGUAUUAUGGACAGGGGUUCGACUCCCCUCAUCUCCACCA